GCUUGUCUCAAAGAUUAAGCCAUGCAUGUCUUAGUGUAAAUAACUCUUAUGAAACUGCGAAUGGCUCAUUAAAUCAGUUAUCAAAUACGUGAUGGUCGCCUACUACAUGGAUAACCGUAGUAAUUCUAGAGCUAAUACAUGCAUCAAGCCCCGACUGUUUGGAAGGGGUGUAUAUAUUAGAUUGAAACCAAUGCGGGGCAACCCGGAGUGUGGUGAUUCAUAAUAUCUUUCGGAUCGAUUUAUCGAUGCAUCAUUCAAGUUUCUGCCCUAUCAGCUUUGGAUGGUAGGGUAUUGGCCUACCAUGGCUUUAACGGGUAACGGAGAAUUAGGGUUCGAUUCCGGAGAGGGAGCCUGAGAAAUGGCUACCACAUCCAAGGAAGGCAGCAGG
rnacentral:rRNA from 1 species